CGGGCAUGGGCUUUCACAGACAGCCCCUGGGUGCCCGCACUCGGGAGCUGGCGCAGAGGGCAGAGGGGGAUUCCCGGCUGCAUGUUCUGGGUGUUCUGGGGGUUUCUGAGGCUGAGCACCUUCCGAGCGCCUGGCAGGGGAUGCCUCUUCAGGUGGAAAGAGCCGGAAAGGACCUGGCGAAGAACGAAGGCCGCAUGCUGGAGGGCCCAGGAGGGCGGGACAAUGCUCAGAAAUCACUCCUGGUGGUGCUUGGGGGACCAUAUGGGAUGCUGAGAAUUGAACCCGGGUUGGCUGCCUGCAAAGCAAAUGCUCUACCC